rnacentral:lncRNA from 1 species
CAAACCCCUCCCUCCUCCCUCUAGCAAGCCACAACCCAUCCGCCGUCUUUCUUUACGUCUUUCCACCUGUCUCUCCUCACAUUUCUCUUCCAGAAAAUUCCGUACAUCUCUAUCACGUCUCACUUAAUCUCUCGGCCCCACUAAAAUUUGAACCCUAGUAAGCAAUUCUGCAAAUUGGAACUAUUUGAGCAGGUAAUUUCAGUUUUUCUCUCCUCUAACCUUAACUUUGGUCUGAUUUCCUCUAUCUUUCCCCUAUUUCUCUCCUCCCAAGCCUAAAUUUUGAAUAAGAAGCUAGGUGGUUUGUGGUAGCAGCAGUGUGUUUGGAUUUCUCCUCGUCCAUUGUCGUC